GACAUAGGUGGCGAACGUUAUCCGGAAUUAUUGGGCGUAAAGGAUGCGUAGAUGGUAGAAUAAGUUACUGGUCGAUGCCAAACUCAAUUUGACGGAAGCCGGUAAUACUGUUCUGCUCGAGGGCAGGAGAGGUUUGAUGGAAUUCUGUGUGGAGCGGUGAAAUGCGUUGAUCUACAGAGGAACACCAAAAGGCGAAGGCAGUCAACUAUUCUGUUCCUGACAUUGAGGCAUGAAAGCGUGGGGAGCCAAACCGG
rnacentral:rRNA from 1 species